ensembl:lncRNA uncharacterized LOC114446015
AUCUUCUACUUUUAACAUCCACACAAGUAGCAGCAUUAUCGAUUAGCAUCACACACAGUUAGCUAAGAGCACCUAGCUAAAGUCUCCUCCUCCUCCUCCUCCUCUUCCUCUUCCUCCCUCCUCCUCCUCCUCCUCCUCUUCCUCCUCCUCCUCUUCCUCUUCCUCCUCCUCCUCCUCCUCCUCCUCUUCCUCCUCCUCCUCCUCCUCUUCCUCUUCCUGACUGUUCAUCUGAAAAUCGCUGAUGUUAUUCAGAGUCGCCCAAAAUGUAAUAAUCGUUGUUUCCAGUAAAAUCAAAUCGCUCUACAGAAGCCCGGAGCGGCCAAACCUCCGACAGGACGUGGAUUAAACCAUUGUACCGGGAAGGGGGGGGGGGGGCGAUCCGAAGAUCAGAGUUUGACCCGCUCACAGUGACAUGUUUAAAAGUUAACACCACGUGCGUGUGUGUGUCUGUGUGUGUCUGUGUGUGAUUGUAAGUGUGGGGACGUUUGUCAGAAAGCUGAUAACAGGACCUGAGUUGGUAUCUUCCACCUGCGGAAGUGGCGGGAAGAGAUUCUCUUCCCGCCACUGAGAGCAACUUAUCCACAGAGGAGCUGCGGAACGGCGUUCACCUCAGAGUGUCUGAGCUGCUGCUUCCUGUCGUCAGUGUUUCAGACAUGUCCGAGAUCUCAGAGGGGCGCUGGAAACAGGCCCUGGGCUCCAUCCUGGAGGAGCUGGAUGAGACUCAGUACAUGAAGCUGCUGAUGCUGAGUAAAAUAAAGCGCUGUUUGAGGGACAAACCCAAAGAGGAGAUGCCUGAAAUCCUCAUCCAGCACUACGGAGUGGAGAAGUCCAUCACUGCAAUCAGGGGCAUCAUGGAGAAGAUUCCACGGAGAGAUGAGGCCGUACAGAGCCAGCUGAAGCCCUUUGUGGACGAACUGAAGGCCAAAAAGAAAAAGGGGUUUAAGAGGAAGAAAGUUGUGAGUGACCCAGAGUCUUCAGAUGAAGAGCAAGAGACUGACUCUGGUGCAGUGGUCCAGCAGCCUCUCCAGGCUGAGAAGCAGUCAGGGAGGAUAACCAUCAAGAAUCUCGAGCACGGCGGGGACCUGGAAAAGAAGAUCGUUACAGUCAAAGUCCUGCAGAAAUCUGGUCUGCGUACGUACAAAACAAAGCAGAAGCAGACAAAGUACUUCUUCUACCUGGGUGUCGCUGAUGAGACGGGCAGCUGUAAGGUGAUGGUCUACGGAAAACAGCGCUAUCAGGACUUUGAGGUGGACCGCUGUUACGGGUUCAGACAAGUCAUCAAAGACGGCGACAUCUUGAAGGUCACAAUAAAAAGCAUAGUGUCAAAAGUGAGCCCCGUCAGCGUCUGCGAUGACCUGAAGCUGGAGGCUCAGAUGAUCAUUCACUCCCAGGUGCCCCUCUGCUCCAUAGCCGAGGCCAAAGGCCACAAGGACGGGACCACAGUGAGCGUAGAAGGAACCAUCACCACCGUCGGUGUCAUGGAAAGUGUCAAAACCAAAUUCAAACGGAGGAAGACGGACAGACUGCAGUUCCAGCUGGCUGACCGAGCCGACUCCAUCUGGAUCACUCUGUGGGGAGACGGCACCAAGCAGCUCACAGGAAAGUCAAGCGGAGAUUCUGUCCGGGUCACAAAUGUCAAGACCAACAAUUUCCACACCACUGUCUCUCUGAAGUCCACAGACUUCACCAGGAUUUUCAAGGUGCAGAGCGCUGCGGCGCAGAGCGUCUCCAUGAAGAUCAUUGGCAUCAUCUCAGCUGGAAAGAUUCACACCGAGCUGGAAUCUGAAAUCAACAGCAUGGUGUUGAACAGCACGAUUGUUUCCACCUACGUUGUGACAUCAUCACUGCUGGCGAAGGUGUUCAGCGUCAAGCUGGGAGGCGACUUUGAGGAGAGACUGUUGGAGAAACUGCCGCUGGAAGCCGAGGCAGAGAUCGAGGGGAACAAGAUCAUUAAGAUCAGAGCGGCCAAGGAGAUGUGA